UGUUUCUCGCAUUCAGGAUUUGUCGCGCAACGAUUGUUGUUGGAAUGACCGUGUCAAAGAAGUGAAAGAACGUAGCACAGUGUGGGAAUUUUAUUGAUGUGUUUUUUCUCGAAAUGGUUAUUAGCGUUGCACACUUUAUAUCGUGAUUAUGGAAUAUUCUUCAUACGGAUAAGGCAUUUUCAAUGAAAGUGUUUGCAGUCGCAUAGGAGUUUUAGGCUGCUUCAUAAAAGGCCAGAAAACUGAAAGACAGAAGAAGGAAGGUGGUAAAAAAAGAGAUUCCUUCAGUAAACAGUCGGAAGAGUUAAAGAUUUGUUUGCCUGCUGUGCAUAGGCAGCGAAACUGACCGAGUAAAAAAAUUGCUGAAUGCAAUUCCAAGACUAAAGCAAAGAUGGGAGCUAGGUGGUGUCAACUUGCUGUUCUGCUGUUCGGCUGCAGCUUGUUUGUACAGGGUAAGCUUCACAUUGGUGUACCCGAAGGUACAUCUUCAAGUGAGAAGGAGGGAGGUGGAAAUUCUAAUAUUUUAGUCCAACAGAUACGAGCCUAUUGGAGAUGCUAUGAAAAAGUUCGUACCAGGCCUUCUGCGAGUGCAGCGGGAGACAAGA